rnacentral:rRNA from 1 species
GACGAACGCUGGCGGCGUGCUUAACACAUACAAGUCGAACGGAAAGGCCCCUUUGGGGGUACUCGAGUGGCGAACGGGUGAGUAACACGUGAGUAACCUGCCCUUGACUUCGGGAUAACUUCAGGAAACUGGGGCUAAUACCGGAUAGGAAUCCUUGCUGCAUGGUGGGGGUUGGAAAGCUUCGGCGGUUUUGGAUGGACUCGCGGCUUAUCAGCUUGUUGGUGGGGUAGUGGCUUACCAAGGCUUUGACGGGUAGCCGGCCUGAGAGGGCGACCGGCCACAGUGGGACUGAGAUACGGCCCAGACUCCUACGGGAGGCAGCAGUGGGGAAUAUUGCACAAUGGGCGGAAGCCUGAUGCAGCAACGCCGCGUGCGGGAUGACGGCCUUCGGGUUGUAAACCGCUUUCAGCAGGGGCGAAGCUUGUGGUGACGGUACCUGCAGAAGAAGCACCGGCUAACUACGUG